CAGGGAAAUUUAGUACCGAAGUCCGGCUGGAUAAGAGGCGAGAAAAGCUGCGUGUAUAUCUAAGGUGCCCGUACCGCAAACCGACACAGGUAGGUAGGAAGAAGAUUCUAAGGCCAACGGGAGAAGGGUUGUUAAGGAACUCGGCAAGUUGACCCCGUAACUUCGGAAUAAGGGGUGCUCAUGAAAGUGAGCCGCAGAGAAUAGGCCCAGGCAACUGUUUACCAAAAACACAGGUUUGUGCUAAAUCGAAAGAUGACGUAUACGAGCUGACGCCUGCCCGGUGCUGGAAGGUUAAAAGGAGAUGUGCAAGCAUUGAAUUGAAGCCCCAGUGAACGGCGGCCGUAACAAUAACGGUCCUAAGGUAGCGAAAUUCCUUGUCAGGUAAGUUCUGACCCGCAUGAAAGGCGUAAUGAUCUGGGCACUGUCUCAACAGCCCGCCCGGCGAAAUUGUAGUACCGGUGAAGAUGCCGGUUACCCGCGACAAGACGGAAAGACCCCAUGGAGCUUUACUGUAGCCUAAUAUUGGGUUUCGGUGUUGCAUGCACAGGAUAGAUGGGACGCUGGGAAGUGAGUGCUUUGGCAUUCAUGGAGCGGCCGUUGGGAUACCAUCCUUGCGACAUUGGAAUUCUAACCUGCGCCUUUGAAUCAAGGCGGGGGACAUUGUUAGGUGGGCAGUUUGACUGGGGCGGUCGCCUCCUAAAGAGUAGCGGAGGCGUUCAAAGGUUGGCUCGUCCUGGACGGAAACCAGGAGAGAGAGUGCAAACGCAAAAGCCAGCCUGACUGCGAGACUGACGGGUCGAGCAGAGACGAAAGUCGGAGUUAGUGAUCCGGUGGUAUGUGAGUGGAAAUGCCAUCGCUCAACGGAUAAAAGUUACCCUGGGAUAACAGGCUGAUCUCCCCCAAGAGUCCACAUCGACGGGGAGGUUUGGCACCUCGAUGUCGGCUCAUCGCAUCCUGGGGCUGUAUUCGGUCCCAAGGGUUUGGCUGUUCGCCAAUUAAAGCGGUACGCGAGCUGGGUUCAGAACGUCGUGAGACAGUUCGGUCCCUAUCUGUCGUGGGCGCAGGAUAUUUGAAAGGCGCUGUCCCUAGUACGAGAGGACCGGGAUGGACGAACCUCUGGUGCACCAGUUGUCACGCCAGUGGCACAGCUGGGCAGCUAUGUUCGGAUCGGAUAAACGCUGAAAGCAUCUAAGCGUGAAGCCGGCCUUAAGAUAAGAUAUCCCACUGGGACAAUCAGGUAAGACCCCUUGAAGACUACAAGGUUGAUAGGCACAAUGUGUAAGUGGCGCGAGUCAUUGAGCAAGCGUGUACUAAUAGGUCGAGGGCUUGAUC
rnacentral:rRNA from 1 species